rnacentral:misc_RNA from 1 species
UCGCACGAAUCAAAUGUACAUAUAAGUAUAUGAAAAUAAACGGCAGGAUUCUGCAUUGUUCCUAUAAAUCACCUCCACCUCCACCUAAAAUUGUACGUUUAAGUAGUCCUAAAUCUGAUCUCUUUUUUGCAAGCAAACCCCCAAAUUGGUCCGCUGAUCCAAAUCUUACGGAUGACCAGUUAACAGAAACUUUUGAGCCCAAAACUGAACUAAGACCAGGGCCACUUAAGGCUGAUAAAUAGAAUAUCAUUAAUUUAUUUCCCCAGUUGUCUUAACGCUAAAGUUUAUGCUAUAGUUUAGUAGCGGACAGGAGUUAUCACGGGAUUCCUUUCUUUGCUGGUUGCCUCCUUUCUUGGUGCAUUUUGUGUGAAUAGAAGACAAUUCAGAUCAAAUUUAAGCUCAUUGGGAAUCCGUUGGUUGAGAUGAAGGUAUGCCUUAUUCCUGUCUGCCACUCCAGG